UCUCUGGACGUCUAGUGGUUAGGUUAAGGCACUCUCACUGAUGCGGCUCGGGUUCGAUUCCUGGCCAGGGAA